rnacentral:rRNA from 1 species
UACGAAGGGGGCUAGCGUUGUUCGGAAUUAUUGGGCGUAAAGGGCGCGUAGGCGGCUUCAUAAGUCAAAGGUGAAAUCCCUCGGCUCAACUGAGGAACUGCCUUUGAAACUGUGGAGCUUGAGGCCGGGAGGGGGUAGCGGAAUUCCACGUGUAGCGGUGAAAUGCGUAGACAUCGGGAGGAACACCUGCGGUGUAGACGGCUUACUGGACCGUAACUGACGCUGAGGCACGAAAGCGUGGGGAGCAAACAGG